CGGAGGGUGCGAGCGUUGUCCGGAAUCACUGGGCGUAAAGGGCGCGUAGGCGGUCUGUUAAGCGUGUGGUGAAAGCUCGGGGCUCAACCCCGAGUCUGCCAUGCGAACUGGUGGACUUGAGCACUGUAGAGGCAGGUGGAAUUCCGGGUGUAGCGGUGGAAUGCGUAGAGAUCCGGAAGAACACCGGUGGCGAAGGCGGCCUGCUGGGCAGUUGCUGACGCUGAGGCGCGACAGCGUGGGGAGCAAACAGGAUUAGAUACCCUGGUAGUCCACGCCGUAAACGAUGGGCACUAGGUGCUUGGGGGAGCGACCCCCCGAGUGCCGGCGCUAACGCAUUAAGUGCCCCGCCUGGGGAGUACGACCGCAAGGUUG
rnacentral:rRNA from 1 species